GAAAAUGAUGACAGUUAUUGUCGCCCCAGUCUUAAUUUGCACCCAAUUUAUUGGAUUUGCAAGGUGGUGAUUGACACAUAUAAAUCUGAUUC
rnacentral:snoRNA from 1 species